rnacentral:rRNA from 1 species
AGAGUUUGAUCCUGGCUCAGAACGAACGCUGGCGGCGUGGAUAAGACAUGCAAGUCGAACGGGAACUUUACUGGUAGCAAUACCGGUGAAGUUCUAGUGGCGAACGGGUGCGUAACACGUGGGCAAUCUGCCUUAAAGUGGGGGAUAGCUCGGCGAAAGCCGAAUUAAUACCGCAUGUGAUCAGGGGAGACAUCUUCCCGAAAUCAAAAGUGGCGCAAGCUACUGCUUUUUGAGGAGCCCGCGGCCUAUCAGCUAGUUGGUGAGGUAACGGCUCACCAAGGCUCUGACGGGUAGCUGGUCUGAGAGGACGACCAGUCACACUGGAACUGAGACACGGUCCAGACACCUACGGGUGGCAGCAGUCGAGAAUUUUUCUCAAUGGGGGAAACCCUGAAGGAGCGACGCCGCGUGGAGGAUGAAGGUCUUCGGGUUGUAAACUCCUGUCAUUUGGGAACAAUGCUACCAAGUUAACUGUUUGGUAGUUGAUAGUACCAGAAGAGGAAGAGACGGCUAACUCUGUGCCAGCAGCCGCGGUAAUACAGAGGUCUCAAGCGUUGUUCGGAUUCAUUGGGCGUAAAGGGUGUGUAGGUGGCGCCGUAAGUCGGGUGUGAAAUCUCGGGGCUUAACUCCGAAACUGCAUUCGAUACUGCGGUGCUUGAGGACUGGAGAGGAGACUGGAAUUCAUGGUGUAGCAGUGAAAUGCGUAGAGAUCAUGAGGAAGACCAGUGGCGAAGGCGGGUCUCUGGACAGUUCCUGACACUGAGACACGAAGGCCGGGGAGCAAACGGGAUUAGAUACCCCAGUAGUCC